GCAGUCGAGCGGUGAACCCUUCGGGGGGAUCAGCGGCGAACGGGUGAGUAACACGUGAGCAACCUGCCCCUGACUCUGGGAUAGCCUCGGGAAACCGGGAUUAAUACCGGAUAUGACACCUCCUCGCAUGGGGUGGUGUGGAAAGUUUUUCGGUCAGGGAUGGGCUCGCGGCCUAUCAGCUUGUUGGUGGGGUGAUGGCCUACCAAGGCGACGACGGGUAGCCGGCCUGAGAGGGUGACCGGCCACACUGGGACUGAGACACGGCCCAGACUCCUACGGGAGGCAGCAGUGGGGAAUAUUGCGCAAUGGGCGAAAGCCUGACGCAGCGACGCCGCGUGAGGGAUGAAGGCCUUCGGGUUGUAAACCUCUUUCAGCAGGGAAGAAGCGCAAGUGACGGUACCUGCAGAAGAAGCACCGGCUAACUACGUGCCAGCAGCCGCGGUAAUACGUAGGGUGCAAGCGUUGUCCGGAAUUAUUGGGCGUAAAGAGCUCGUAGGCGGUUUGUCGCGUCUGCUGUGAAAACGCGGGGCUCAACUCCGCGCCUGCAGUGGGUACGGGCAGACUAGAGUGCAGUAGGGGAGACUGGAAUUCCUGGUGUAGCGGUGGAAUGCGCAGAUAUCAGGAGGAACACCGGUGGCGAAGGCGGGUCUCUGGGCUGUAACUGACGCUGAGGAGCGAAAGCGUGGGUAGCGAACAGGAUUAGAUACCCUGGUAGUCCACGCCGUAAACGUUGGGCGCUAGGUGUGGGCCUCAUUCCACGAGGUCCGUGCCGCAGCUAACGCAUUAAGCGCCCCGCCUGGGGAGUACGGCCGCAAGGCUAAAACUCAAAGGAAUUGACGGGGCCCCGCACAAGCGGCGGAGC
rnacentral:rRNA from 1 species